ensembl:miRNA
AGCUCCGUCAAUGUCUCCCAGCCCAAGGUGCAGUGCUGCAUCUCUGGUCAGUUGUGAGUCUGAGAUGAAGCACUGUAGCUCGGGAAGGGAGGAACUGUGCA